GCACACCAGCGUCUGGGGCUGCAGGACACUGGAAGGAAAGGAUCCAGGGUAAACAUGACUUCCAAGCUGACCAUAGCUCUAUUGCUUCCUUGGCAGUUCCAUGCUUUCUGUACACCGUGCGAAGGUAAUCCGGGAAUUCCUUUCCCUGUGACUGCUGGGUCCAAUGGCCUUUGGCAAUGUAAGUGAAGUGCUGCCGUGGCUUCCAGAAAAUUGUGAAGAAAUCCUGUUGGCACCAUUUCAGUUCACCGCUGAACUCAAAGGACCAUGAUUUCAAUAGCAAAGGAAUAUCUAAAACAGAGCAAGAGGGGGUCAGCAGUAUGGACAGCCCAGCAUCGCUUGGAAGAGUGCAGCCUGGAAUUUAGUAAGGUGGGGACCAAACUCGACGGGGAAAACUGGGAUGAGUUGAUAGGGAGUUUUGUCGCCUUCGUACUAACCUGGACAUAUUCUGGCCUGUAGAGAAGAUGGAGUUUUUGGUCCUUGAUGAAUGGAGAAGAAGUAUGUGAGCAUUAUACUUCCCACAUUCAAUGGUUUGUAGAAAAAUCUAUAUGUCCAAGUCUAUCAUGUCAUAUUCAUAGGACAUUAUUAAUAAUCUCAAAUCAUCCCAAAGCAGUGAGCAAUCAGGAGAGAACUGGAUGAAUAUGAUCCUUGAGGAACAGGGAUGAAUGAAGUAGGGAAGAGGCAUGCUUUGCUUCGGCAGGACCUACACCUAUGGCCCUGACCAGCCUACUCUUUGCUUGGUUCCUCCCUAUGUCCGUCUCAAAGUAAACUAAGUAAGUAGGGUAACUAAGUGUGCUUAAAUUGGGUUUUUAACAAUACUCAACUCUCUUAUUGAAUGGGCAUCUUGAUUAUUUUCUUUGUUUUAAAACUUAGAUAUGUGUGUGUGCAUAUGGACGUACUCUUUUUUUCCAAGGUAAUAAAUAGUUAAAAUUUAUUAGAUGGUUAACUAUGUGCCUGGACUGUUCUAUGCACUUUACAUUAUUUCAUUUAAGCUUUAAAACAGGUCUAUGAGUUAGGUAUUAUUAUUAACCCAUUUUCACAGAUGAGGAAACUGAGGCCCAAGAUGAUAAGGCUGGUAGACUAUAUGAGAUCAUAAAGCUGGUAAAAAUGAGAAGCCAGACAGCCAAAUGCAGACCUUGAGUUUUUAUGUGUUAUGUUAGACUGCUUUCCAUGUUCCUUAGAAAAUUUGGAAAAUAAUUGAGAAAUAAAUGUCACCUAUAAUUGCAUUGCCAAAAGAUAGCCAUUAUCUAUAUUUUUACAGUUUUGUGUACAUAAAAAUAUUAUGCCAAAGUUUUCAUAUUUUCACUUGG